CCCUUAGAUGUCCUGGGCCGCACGCGCGCUACACUGAUGCAUUCAACGAGCCUAUCCUUGACCGACAGGUCCGGGUAAUCUUUGAAUCUGCAUCGUGACGGGGAUAGAUUAUUGCAAUUAUUAAUCUUCAACGAGGAAUGCCUAGUAGGCGCAAGUCAUCAGCUUGCGUCGAUUACGUCCCUGCCCUUUGUACACACCGCCCGUCGCUACUACUGAUUGGAUGUUUAAGCGAGGUUCUCGAACUGCUAGCGACUUAGCUUCGGUGAGGUCGCAGUGUGGGAAGUGAACCUAGCUUUGGUGUCUAGAGGAAGUAAAAGUCGUAACA
rnacentral:rRNA from 1 species